ACGAAUUAGCCACUAAAUUAAAACGUUACGAAUUUCCGUGAGAUUGGUUGGUAUACAAAAUAGUCGUGCAUAUACAUAUAUGUAUUUUGUGCAAAUGCUGGCAUUUCCAAUAUUUGCAACAGUGCAAAAGAUUCAUAAAUAUAGGUGGAUGGAGCCAGAUAUUGGCUACUGAUUCGUAACAAUAUCUUCUUUAUUGUUCAACAGAAAAAAAAGAAACUUAAUAGUUUGGAAACGGUUGAUGGUCACUCUUCUGGCUUUAAUCUACUAGAUGGCGUUAUGGAAAACUCCACAGGUCCUCUCCUCCUCCUCUGUCUGAGAAAUGAAACACAUGAGGGACUGACGGUGGGCCUGGCCGUGGCUCAAACGCACCGCAGGUGGAAUAUUUGUGUUAUUGUGGAAGAAUUCACACUGCUCUCCAAGGUUGCUCUUCAUUCCUGAAUAGAUGUUUUCAGUGGUGAAACCCUAGAGUGCAAGGAACAGUGUAACAAUUACAGGAGUAUCUGUACUGCAGAUCUUGUGAGCUCAUUCACAUGGUGCUGAUUGCUGAAUGAAAGGAGAAACUCACUGUGAUGAAGGACAAAGAGCUUCCCUCCUUCAUGUUUGUUGGAGUUUGUGACAUCAGAGCAAGCACUUUAAUAACACUCACACUAAUCAGAUCCUGCAGUUCAGCGAUACCUCUAAUACUGCUCAGAUGGACGGCAGAGAAAAACAGACGCAGCGAAAAAAGACAGAGAAAACAUCUGGACAGACAGACAGUUGCGUAGCAGAGACAUUCAUCUUAUCCGCAUCCUUGCACGGUCGUCAGACUUGAAUUAUAUUUUAAUGCUUUCCAUUGGGAUGCGUCCCCGUGCCAGAAUUAUCAUCAUGUGUGCUUCGACACAAGGAGACAAACAUUGCAGCCAACAAGAUAGAGCUGCGAUGGGAGAAGGAGAGGAAUGGUGGAGAGACAGAAGAACUGACACAAAACUGAGGUUAGCACAAUGCUACCUUACAUCUGUAGAAAAGGUUUAAAAAAAAACAUCCGCCAUAUGCAUCUAGAUAUGGAUGAAUGAUAAUAGCAUAUGGCAAAGAACUCAUGCACAAUUUAUUGUACAAUACAAUAACCAAAUGCAUAUACGGACGAAUAUGUUUUUUUUUUUUCUCCCGUCUCCUGGCUGUGGUGCGGUGUCAUUAAAUUUGCAAAAAUUC